GUCGGUCACCGGAGUCCCUCGAGACGAGUUCGGCCUUCGAGGCUAUGGAAGGUGGCCUAAAUAGGGGAGGGAGUUAUUUUGUUUCUUAGCGCGUGCUGCGAAAUUUAAGGAAAAUCGCUAAUGAAAUCGUAAGCCGAUAUUAUGUACAGGGAAGGUGAAACUAAAAGUGUUUUGAAAGCACACCGGGUCAACGGAACCCAUAGUUGACAAUGAACCACCAAAGAGGCGUUAUCAGGUGGAUUUAACCUCCCUCUCAGCGUCUUCCGUAUGCAUCAUCAGUUUACUGAUGAACUAUUUGAAAUACCAGACGUCCACGGAACAACCAAUGAAGAAUUUACGGCAAUUGUUGUAGCUUUCAACCGGAGAGAAAUAAGUUUCAUAUCAGCCGAAUAAACUCUUCCCCCAUGAUAACUUCCCCUGCAUAUCAAGACAUUGAAGAAUUCACAUUUUCUGUAGAAUAAAUAGGUUAUCAAUAAGGAUAAAUGACAGUGUUCGACAGUGUUAGUUGGUUCAUGAACCACACUUUCACUUCUAAUAGGUGAUUUAUUUUUCUGCAGUGAUUUUUUUUAAAUAAAAGCUAAUCAGA